AACCUGCCUAUACUAGGGGGAUAACACUUAGAAAUAGGUGCUAAUACCGCAUAAGCGCACAGCUUCGCAUGAAGCAGUGUGAAAAACUCCGGUGGUAUACGAUGGAUCCGCGUCUGAUUAGCUGGUUGGCGGGGUAAAGGCCCACCAAGGCGACGAUCAGUAGCCGGCCUGAGAGGGUGAACGGCCACAUUGGGACUGAGACACGGCCCAAACUCCUACGGGAGGCAGCAG
rnacentral:rRNA from 1 species